UUGUCAAAGAAUUUGUCCUCAUAAGUGUUCUACAUGUAUUUCUGACGUAAAGAGGAUGCUACACUUUUAGAUUAUAUUCGUUCCGCAGCAUUUUGCAACGUCAUUUUAUUCAAACUUAUCAAAACAUGCCACCUGGUACCGGAGGAAAUUCUACCUGAGAAAGUUUGAAGUGCUUCUUAGAUAUGUUUCUACGCUUAAAUGAAAAAUCUUACUAUCAGUAAUUGUUAAGAAUUUAAAUGUCCUUCAUGUUCUGUAUGAUUCGUGUCAUGAAAAAGUGUUUUAAUGAUAAAACUAAACAAAACCUUUUUUGGGUACUGUACGGCUAAUUGAGGAUAACAGUACGGCAUAUUGCUAGAUUGCGCAUAACAAAGUGUACGGCAUUUUGAUUAUUUCAUUAACUUGUCUAUCUUUUUUAACAGAUUUUUUCAUUUGAUUUCAGAUAUUACGCUGUUUGCCUGCUUCUAUUGCAAAGCAACAGUGUCCUCCUUUGAGGAUAUCGUUACCCAAAUGUUAUUUUAUAAUACACAAGAAAUAAUCGUUGAAAAAAAUGUGUUACACACCUUCAAUUUUCGUAUUAUACCAGACAUUUGCCAGGAGCAAGCUAUAGGGAAUUUAUUACAAUAAUAUAAACUUUGAUAAGGGGAAAAUUGAUAUACUUUUAGGCCUACCCAAAUUUUCUUGAGUAAAAUCAUUCCUAGGGACCACGUAUUUAAUUCCGAAGAAAUGACGAAAAGAACAUGAGGCAAAGAGAAAAUUUACAUCGAUGUCCUAGACGCAGGAGCCCAUAGCUACGGAGUUGCGCCAGUACGACAGCAUCAUAAAUGUGAUCAAAACAAAAUAUUGACAUAGCAAAAAUAUUAAAUUGAGAAAUUUCAGCGUUUCUGUGAAAUUCACAAAUAAAACGAAAAAAAUAACUAUAGAA